UCUAAGACUGGAAAAGCUCAGAAAA
rnacentral:piRNA from 1 species